GACGAACGCUGGCGGCGUGCUUAACACAUGCAAGUCGAACGGACAGGCCCUGCUUUUGUGGGGUGCUCGAGUGGCGAACGGGUGAGUAACACGUGAGUAUCCUGCCCUUGACUUUGGGAUAACUUCAGGAAACUGGGGCUAAUACCGGGUAUGAGCUCCUGCUCCAUGGUGUGGGUUGGAAAGUUCCGGCCGUUGGGGAUGGUCUCGCGGCUUAUCAGCUUGUUGGUGGGGUAGUGGCUUACCAAGCCUUUGACGGAUAGCCGGCAUGAGAGGGUGACCGGCGACAAUGGUACUGAGAGACGGACCAGACUCCUACGGGAGGCAGUAGUGGGGAGUAUUGCAGAAUGGGCGGGAGCCUGAUGCAGCGACGCCGCGAGCGGGAUAAUGUGUUACGAGUGGAAAACCGCUUUCGACGGUGAUGAAGCGGGCGUGACGGUAAUGGGUAAGAAAGCAACGGCUAACUACGUG
rnacentral:rRNA from 1 species